UAUCAAAUUGAAGAUAUAAAUUAAGCAAAUAGAUUAGCAUAUUGCCAUAUUGAAUUCACCAAACAACCCAAUUAACAAUUAUUUGCUGAGUCUGAUUUGGUGCCUUCGGAUGGAGAGAUUUGACUAAUUUAAAUACUGAAACCCUACUCAGCCAGAAUAAGUUGAGGGAGGCACAUCUGUAUGUGUGAUAUGACCAAAGUCUCUCUUGUAUUUGAACAGUUUGCACUCAAUUUUCAAAAAGAUGGACUGAUACGGUGUCAAUAAUUCGUCAUUAAAAUUAAAGAAAAA
rnacentral:lncRNA from 1 species